rnacentral:tRNA from 1 species
UCCCCCGUAGUGUAAUUGGCAGCACGAUGUCUUUUGGUGUCAUUAGUUCAGGUUCGAGCCCUGGCGGGGGAG